AAAAUAUCAACGAAGAUAUUGAUCAAGUACUUGCAAUUGUACUUACAUUUUGGGUAAUUUGGUUAGAAAGAAACCCAUAUUUCUGAUAUAGAAGUUUUGAAAACAGGUCAAAUUUGACCGAAGGACAACAUGA